GUCGAACGGUCCUUCGGGACAGUGGCGGACGGCUGAGUAACACGUAGGUAACCUACCCUUGAGUGGGGGACAACCCUCCGAAAGGAGGGCUAAUACCGCAUACGACCGCCGGGCCUCGGCUCGGUGUGGAAAGCAGUAAUGCGCUCGAGGAUGGGCCUGCGUCCGAUUAGCUAGUUGGUGAGGUAACGGCCCACCAAGGCGACGAUCGGUAGCUGGUCUGAGAGGAUGAUCAGCCAGACUGGGACUGUGACACGGCCCAGACUCCUACGGGAGGCAGCAGUUAGGAAUUUUGGGCAAUGGGCGAAAGCCUGACCCAGCAACGCCGCGUGGGUGACGAAGGCCCUCGGGUCGUAAAGCCCUUUUGCACGGGAAGAUAAUGACGGUACCGUGCGAAUAAGCCCCGGCUAACUACGUGCCAGCAGCCGCGGUAAUACGUAGGGGGCGAGCGUUGUCCGGAUUUAUUGGGCGUAAAACGCUUGUAGGUGGCCACGCCAAGUCGUGUGUGAAAUCUCCCGGCUUAACUGGGAGGGGUCAUGCGAUACUGGCGGGCUCGAGGCCGGUAGGGGGAAGCGGAAUUCCCGGUGUAGUGGUGGAAUGCGUAGAUAUCGGGAGGAACACCAGUGGCGAAGGCGGCUUCCUGGACCGGUUCUGACACUGAGGAGCGAAAGCGUGGGGAGCGAUCCGGAUUAGAUACCCGGGUAGUCCACGCCGUAAACGGUGGGCACUAGAUGUCGGGGGUAUCGACCCCUCCGGUGUCGCAGCUAACGCAUUAAGUGCCCUGCCUGGGGAGUACGGCCGCAAGGCUAAAACUCAAAGAAAUUGACGGGGGCCCGCACAAGCAGCGGAGCGUGUGGUUUAAUUCGAUGCACCGCGAGAACCUCACCUAGGCUUGACAUGCCGGAAGUAGA
rnacentral:rRNA from 1 species